UUCAAAUUUUUACAUAUUUUUUCUCUUCAUCAUCAAGUGAAAAGUGUAUACAAUGUUGAGGAUUUUGUUUUUAUAAUAAUAAUAAUUAAAUAAGAAUUGUUCGCAAUAAAAUAUGCAGAUUUUGAAAUAGUAUAAAAAGAGUUUUUCGAAUUUUUGGAUUUCGAUAAUGCAAAACUCAGAAUGUAUUCGUCUUUUAUUCUUGUUUUUUGUUACGAAUGCCGGAGCCUUGACAUGGUAUCCAAAAUCUUCACAACCAAUGUUCGGAGAACAAAUAGAUUUGGUUGGAGCUGACAAUGUAUCGCUUUCAUCAAAUCAAACUGAAUCAGUACCUAUAUUAAUUGAUGGCUUAAUAGAUUCCCAGAAUCCAAAUGAUUCUGGUGUUCAAGCUAUUUCUCCAGAAGCUCGAAGUGACCCUGGAGAUCGUGACCGAGAACCAUUUGAUGAAGUGGAGAAUAUUGAACCCAGACAGUGGUCAGACAUUUUUCCAACGAGUGCAACAACAGCAAGAGGGCUGUUUCCUCCGAGAAGAGCCACCAGUCCGACGACUCUAGCUCAAAGGAAUCCUUCCUCUCAGGGAAAUCCUGAGAUUACUGCACCUCCGCCGACAGCGUCAGUUGAUGAAGUAUUUUGUGAUUUUGGUCCUCUCCCCGUGCAGUCGCUCUGUGAGUGGCAAGAUGGACAUGGAGCCUUGCGAUGGACUACAGGCACUGGCCUAAGUACCAAUUGGUUAGGUGGUCCACCUAUCGAUUCUACUGCAGGAACCAUGGAAGGAGGAUAUGCCUUUCUGGAAACAUCACAUGUUCCACCUAAGGAUACAAAGUCAAGAAGUCACGGUGGUCUUUUGCACAGUCCUCAGCUGGGAAGCACAGGAGUCUCUGGAACUUGCUUCAUGUUUAAGUAUGCAAUAAAUGGCUUAAGUUCUGCUGGUCUUAGAGUACUUUUACAUAUGGGAGUAGACGAAUAUUCAAUAAAAAAAGAAAGGGCUGAUGAAAUUCCAAUUGAAAAUGUUACGGCUACUGCAACAUCUACUUCAAGUAAACCUUUUGACAGUGGCAAUGAGAGAGUUCUCUGGCAUGCACAGUAUAAUAUUCUCGGAGUUUGGCAGCAGGCUCAUAUUCUUUACACUUAUCCGGAAUUACAUUCGAUCGUAAUUGAAGGUGUACCUGUAGAUUCUGCUGAUCCUUCUAGGCUUUAUCGUGGCUAUAUAGCGAUAGAUGAUAUCGACCUUCAAAUAGGCCCUACAUGUGCUGGCUUUUGUAACUUUGCAGGUGGUAUCUGUGAUUGGACCAAUGAUGCUGAAGAUGAUUUUGAUUGGACAAUUAGCAGAGGAAGCAAUGAUCCUACCACAGGACCAGCGAUGGACAGUUCCAGCGAUCGAGCAACAGCUGGUGGCUAUGCUUAUAUUGACUCUAGAUAUCCUCGAAGACCUGGAGACACAGCACGACUAAUGAGUAUCACUUUCCCCGGCACAGGGCCAGAAUCUCCAAUGUGUAUGCAUUUUUGGUUUCAUAUGUUCGGUUCAGGAAUUGGAAACCUAAAAAUUCAUCUUCGCCAUUUGCGGAGUUUGGAUGCAGAAGUGCAAGAGAUUUGGGCACUCAGUGGAAAUGCUGGUAAUGCGUGGUUUAAAUCAGAAGUCACCAUUAGUUCGCUGGAUGAUUAUCAACUCAUCUUUGAGGCUUCUGUGGGAAACACAGGAAUGGGAGACAUUGCGAUAGAUGAAAUCAGUUUAACUUCUGGCGUUUGUCCAACAAUGCCACAAGUUGCAGCUCCUCUUGCAAGAGACUGUACUUUCGAAAUUGAUGAAUGCGAGUGGGUAAACUCUAGAGAUCCAGACCGUGUCGAGUGGGAAAGAAUAUCAACUUCAACUCUGAGUUCUAGAAAUCAAAGAAAACCUUAUAGCAAUGGACAUACAGUUAGUCGUCGAAAUGAGUAUUUUUUGGGUUUGCAACGUUCCAGAGGAGGAGGAGGAGGAGGUAGAAAUACUGGUGGAGGAACUGCUCAAUUAAUGAGUCGAGAGUUUAAAGGCUCUGAUGAUCCUCUUUGCAUCACCUUCUGGUAUUUUAUGUUUGAAUCUUUCAUCGACUCAACUGGACCUAGUUUAGGCGUUCUUCGUGUUUUGGUUCAAACUCUCGGGGAGAGUUCCUCAGAUGCAAAUCCUGUAUGGCAGCUUUAUAAUAAUCAAGGACCAACUUGGAGUUUUGCCCAGACAAGUAUCAAUGAAAGAAAGGAUUUUAAUAUAAUUUUUGAAGGUACAUGGGGACCCAAUAGAGCAAGUGGAAGCAUUGCUAUUGACGAUGUCGCUUUUUACACUGGAAAUUGCACUGUAAGACCAAUGAGUGCAACUGUUAAGCCUGAGGAUUGCAGUUUUGAGAAAGGUUUAUGUGGUUGGGAAAAUAAAACGGCAGCUGUAAAUGAUCGAACUGUGACUUGGCAGAGAGCCUUCUUAACUCAUAGGCCAGCACAAUUAUUAGACAAAACUUUUGGUGCAACAGGAGAUUUUGUUUUCUUUGAUAUUUUUACUACAAAUCAAAAAUCUGCUACAGUUCAACUUUUAUCACCGGUGAUUAAUACAUCGCCUGAUGAAACAGCAUUAUGUUUUACAUUUUGGUUUGCCGCAUUUGGAGUUGAAGAAUCAACGUCUUUGAGAAUUAUUAAAGUUUCAAUUGAAGGAGAUAAGAUCAGUGACGAUGAAGAGAGUGAAGACAAGGAAUUGCUUUGGCACUUGACAGCGAAAGGAUUUAACAACAUCAGACCGUCUUGGGUAGCAGCCCAAUUUGCGAUAGAGGCGCGGGCUCCUUAUCGACUUAUUUUGGAAGGAACAGCUAGUAACGGAGGCUUUGCCAUUGACGACAUUAAAUUCCAACCAGAAUCUUGCAUGACACGACCAGCAAAAGCUCAACCAGUAGCUAUCGAAACCUAAAUAUGGAUAACUAAAUUUAAUUUAACUGAUUUAUUAAAUAACAAGUGAAAAGACUUUGUGUGAUAUUUAAGUUAGGGCAAUUAAAUAGUUUGUCUACAAAUUAAUCUACAAAUUUAUUAUUAAUAGAUAGUAAAUAUAUACAAUUAUACAGAAUAUGUAAAUUUAAAAAAUAAUUCAAAUUUAACAAUAACGCAAUUUUUUGGUAUAAGUUUUUAUACAUAUUUAGUAACAAUUAAUUUAAUAGAAACAUCGAAUUAAAAUUUUUUAGUAUAUAAUUGAACUAUGUUUUAUUCUCCUUUCAAAUAGAACAAUACUUUGCAGAGCAUUAUUAAGAUGUUAACUUAAGAAACUUACAAGAGUUGCAUAACUAAAGGGGCCAUAUGUAUGACCAUUAUUACAGUGUAAGAAUGCAUAAGGGGUUCUAUUCAAGAUUCCUUAUAAUUUCUUAUGUGGGUACUUAUACAUACACUCUAUACUUAUACAUACAUUGUAUAUAUAUUCCAUGUAAGUGUAUCUUCAGUUAAACUUAUGUGAAAGUUCAGAAAAUAUCCUACGCCUCUGGGCGUAGAAUUCUGCGGAGAGUACACAGAAAAAAUUUUGGGCGACCUACUAUUUCAAUUGGAUAGAAAUUUGACGACUGUCAUACUAUCUAAAGGUAGCACGCUCGCGAUUGAACUGUUCUAUAGAAUAUUCCAUGACAUUUAAAAUCUAAAUAGUUAAUAGUAAGAUCUACGCAUUUACAAAAUUUAAAAAAAAUUGACCGAAAUGCGGUUUGUCAACAAAAAUAUAAUACGUAGAUAAAAAAUUUCCCGAACGAUUGUGACACCCGAGAUUCGAACACUCGAUCAUAUAGUGCACUACAGGGCUCAACCGUUCUGGGAGGCACCUAGACGCGCUCGACCAAGGGAGACUAUUGAUGGUUUCUCAUAAAAUAUCCCUUGUAA